rnacentral:rRNA from 1 species
GGCCUAUCAGCUUGUUGGUGGGGUAACGGCCCACCAAGGCGACGACGGGUAGCCGGCCUGAGAGGACGGCCCCCCACAUUGGGACUGAGAUACGGCCCAGACUCCUACGGGAGGCAGCAGUGGGGAAUCUUGCGCAAUGGCCGAAAGGCUGACGCAGCGACGCCGCGUGCGGGAGGACGGCCUUCGGGUUGUAAACCGCUGUCAGGGGGACGAAUGCCUGAGGGGAGGCAAUGCCUCUUGGGGUGACGGUACCCUCAAAGGAAGCACCGGCUAACUCCGUGCCAGCAGCCGCGGUAAUACGGAGGGUGCGAGCGUUGUUCGGAAUUAUUGGGCGUAAAGCGCGCGCAGGCGGCCAGGUCAGUCCAUGGGUGAAAGGCCGGGGCUCAACCCCGUGUUUGCCCAGGAUACUGCCUGGCUAGAGACACGUAGAGGCAAGCGGAAUUCCGGGUGUAGCGGUGGAAUGCGUAGAGAUCCGGAAGAACAUCGGAGGCGAAGGCGGCUUGCUGG